UACGUAGGGGGCAAGCGUUGUCCGGAUUUAUUGGGCGUAAAGAGCGUGUAGGCGGUUUGGUAGGUCCGCUGUGAAAACUCGAGGCUCAACUUCGAGACGCCGGUGGAAACCAUCAGACUAGAGUCCGGAAGAGGAGAGUGGAAUUCCUGGUGUAGCGGUGAAAUGCGUAGAGAUCCGGAGGAACACCAGUGGCGAAGGCGGCUCGCUGGGCUUUACCUGACGCUGAGGAGCGAAAGCGUGGGGAGCGAACAGG
rnacentral:rRNA from 1 species